rnacentral:rRNA from 1 species
AUGACGAAAAUGAACAUAAACUACUACCUCCUCCCCGAAGAAGAUGACCCGGUCAGAACUAUUCGGAACAAGAAUUGUAUUGGGAAAGUGAUGUUUCUGACCACUGUUGCUCGACUCAGAUAUGAUGCUGAAGGCAAUAUGACAUUCUCAAGUAAAAUUGGUGUCUGGCCCUUUGUGCAAGAGAUUCCCGCUGCUAGAAGAAGUGAAUAA